AAACAUAAAUCUAGGAAAAUAUAUAGAAACCAAUACACAAACAUAUUAGCGAAGCGCGGCGUGCUGCCGCGCACAGGCAUGGCUAGUCACAUGCAAACUGAGGAAAAUCCUCGGUUCCACGGUAAUGGAUUAUGGAUCCUAGUAACACCCAAAGCAGCACCAAAUUAAGCAAGCAUCAAAUUUAGCAAGUUCAUGCGCACCACAUUACAAGUUCUACUACAACAGAAAUACAGUACAUUAACUACAUCAAACUGUCGCCAGUACAACACAACACGUUACCUUCCAGAUGAGUUCUGAGAAUUUGAUCCUAGAAUACUUCGACCCAUGCCAAACUGGAGCACCACCUGCAGGGUUGCCACAACCGCUAACUUUUCUGCUUCAUAGUAGCGUCUUGGAGGUUUAUAAGCCUUCCUUUCAUCACCAGCAACACCUGGACAUCUUGAUUUCACACAAUUGCCUCCCAUCCUCCUGGCAUUCUAUCAGCAUAAAAGAAGUGAUAUGUGUUAACAAUUAAGUAACUGCUACUGCAUACUCAAAAUAUUGCUAACCAGAUGAUGAUACCUAAAAAGCUUGGAUUUUUCUCUUUUUUCCUCAAUGUGCGCCCAUGAAGGGGUUGACGAGGACGAGGCGUUUGUCGUCGAAGAAGGUCAGGCCGCCGCAGGAUGAAGGAAGAACAGGUGCGGAGAUGAAGGGAGGAAACUGCGUUGGAUUUGGUUGGACCCGGCCAGAAGGUGC
rnacentral:lncRNA from 1 species